rnacentral:rRNA from 1 species
UGGGGAAUAUUGCACAAUGGGGGAAACCCUGCUGCAGCGACGCCGCGUGAACGAAGAAGGUAUUCGUAUCGUAAAGUUCUGUCCUAUGGGAAGAUAAUGACAGUACCAUAGAAGAAAGCUCCGGCUAAAUACGUGCCAGCAGCCGCGGUAAUACGUAUGGAGCGAGCGUUGUCCGGAAUUAUUGGGCGUAAAGGGUACGCAGGCGGUUUAAUAAGUCGAAUGUUAAAGAUCGGGGCUCAACCCCGUAAAGCAUUGGAAACUGAUAAACUUGAGUAGUGGAGAGGAAAGUGGAAUUCCUAGUGUAGUGGUGAAAUACGUAGAUAUUAGGAGGAAUACCAGUAGCGAAGGCGACUUUCUGGACACAAACUGACGCUGAGGUACGAAAGCGUGGGGAGCAAACAGG